rnacentral:rRNA from 1 species
GAUGAACGCUAGCGGCAGGCCUAACACAUGCAAGUCGAGGGAGAAGCCCUUUCGGGGGCAGAAACCGGCGCACGGGUGCGUAACGCGUAUGCAACCUACCUUUCACAGGGGGAUAGCCCGAAGAAAUUUGGAUUAAUACCCCAUAAUAUUAUUGGAUGGCAUCAUUUGAUAAUUAAAACUGCGGUGGUGAAAGAUGGGCAUGCGUCCUAUUAGCUAGUUGGAGUGGUAACGGCACCCCAAGGCUACGAUAGGUAGGGGUCCUGAGAGGGAGAUCCCCCACAAUGGUACGGAGACAGGGACCAGACGCCUACGGGAGGCAGCAGUGAGGAAUAUUGGUCAAUGGUCGGAAGACUGAACCAGCCAUGCCGCGUGCAGGAAGAAUGCCUUAUGGGUUGUAAACUGCUUUUAUAUGGGAAGAAUAAGGUGUACGUGUACAUUGAUGACGGUACCAGAUGAAUAAGCAUCGGCUAACUCCGUG